UACGGAGGAUGCGAGCGUUAUCCGGAUUUAUUGGGUUUAAAGGGUGCGUAGGCGGGAUGCCAAGUCAGCGGUAAAAAUACGGUGCUAACGCCGUCGAGCCGUUGAAACUGGCGUUCUUGAGUGGGCGAGAAGUAUGCGGAAUGCGUGGUGUAGCGGUGAAAUGCAUAGAUAUCACGCAGAACUCCGAUUGCGAAGGCAGCAUACCGGCGCCCUACUGACGCUGAGGCACGAAAGCGUGGGUAUCGAACAGG
rnacentral:rRNA from 1 species